CGAUUGGUUCAAGUGACGUUGUUCCCACUCAAACUUAAGACGCAAGAUCGUCAAGUUAACGAUGAUCUCAAGUGUGAGACGGAUUGCGAUGAGAUCCUCGAUGGUGAGGACGAUGAGUAUUGUGAUAGCCAGAACAAGAGAAAGAGAACGCCUAAAAGGAAAUCAGCAACCCCAGUAAAAGCAUGCAUCUGGCAAGGCGAAAGGAUAACGAUCAGCGCAUAAUUCUCUGUAGAAGAAUUCAACAAAUGUACAUAGCGAAUGAGAGAAAGAGGGCUGGGAGGAGGAGAAGGAGAGAAAGAGGGCUGGGGGGUUUCUGCAGAAGAAGAAGAAGAAGAAGAAGAAGAAGAAGAAGAAGAAGAAAAAUAAAAAAAUAAUAAUAAUUUUUUAAUUUUUUUAAAUUAAAAAAGAAAAAAAAAUAAUUUUUUUUCUGUUUUUUUAAUUUUUUUUAAUAUUUAUAAUUAUUUUUUAAAAUUAAUAUUA